rnacentral:rRNA from 1 species
UACGGAGGAUCCAAGCGUUAUCCGGAUUCAUUGGGUUUAAAGGGUGCGUAGGCGGAAUUGUAAGUCAGUGGUGAAAGCCUGCAGCUUAACUGCAGAAUUGCCAUUGAUACUGCCAAAUCUUGAGUACAUUUGAUGUGGGCGGAAUGUGUCAUGUAGCGGUGAAAUGCUUAGAUAUGACACAGGAACACCGAUUGCGAAGGCAGCUCACAAAACUGUAACUGACGCUGAGGCACGAAAGCGUGGGGAUCGAACAGG